rnacentral:rRNA from 1 species
UACGUAGGGGGCUAGCGUUGUCCGGAUUUAUUGGGCGUAAAGAGCGUGUAGGCGGCCAGGUAGGUCUGGUGUGAAAACUCGAGGCUUAACCUCGAGAUGUCAUCGGAAACCAUCUGGCUAGAGUCCGGAAGAGGAGAGUGGAAUUCCUGGUGUAGCGGUGAAAUGCGUAGAGAUCAGCAGGAACACCCGUGGCGAAGGCGGCCCCCUGGGCCGAACCUGACGCUGAGGCGCGAAGGCUAGGGGAGCGAACGGG